CAAGGAGAAGCUCUUGAUCGAAGCCCCAGUAAACGGCGGCCGUAACAAUAACGGUCCUAAGGUAGCGAAAUUCCUUGUCGGGUAAGUUCCGACCUGCACGAAUGGCGUAACGAUGGCCACACUGUCUCCUCCGCAGACUCAGCGAAGUUGAAAUGUUUGUGAUGAUGCAAUCUACCCGCGGCUAGACGGAAAGACCCCAUGAACCUUUACUGUAGCUUUGCAUUGGACUUUGAACCAAUCUGUGUAGGAUAGGUGGGAGGCGAUGAAACCGUGGCGCCAGCUGCGGUGGAGCCAACCUUGAAAUACCACCCUGGUUUGUUUGAGGUUCUAACCUUGGUCCGUUAUCCGGAUCGGGGACAGUGCAUGGUAGGCAGUUUGACUGGGGCGGUCUCCUCCCAAAGUGUAACGGAGGAGUUCGAAGGUACGCUAGGUACGGUCGGACAUCGUGCUAAUAGUGCAAUGGCAUAAGCGUGCUUAACUGCGAGACUGACAAGUCGAGCAGGUACGAAAGUAGGACAUAGUGAUCCGGUGGUUCUGUAUGGAAGGGCCAUCGCUCAACGGAUAAAAGGUACGGCUGUUCGCCGUUUAAAGUGGUACGCGAGCUGGGUUUAGAACGUCGUGAGACAGUUCGGUCCCUAUCUGCCGUGGGCGUUGGAAGAUUGAGGGGGGCUGCUCCUAGUACGAGAGGACCGGAGUGGACGAACCUCUGGUGUUCGGGUUGUUACGCCAGUAGCAUUGCCCGGUAGCUAAGUUCGGAAUCAAUAAACGCUGAAAGCAUCUAAGCGUGAAGUGAGCCCCAAGAUGAGUCUUCCCUGAAGCUUUAAGCUUCUUAAAGGGUUGUUCAAGACCAGGACGUUGAUAGGUCUGAUGUGUAAGUAUAGUGAUAUAUUGAGCUAACAGAUACUAAUUGCCCGUACUCUGCGUUGA
rnacentral:rRNA from 1 species